rnacentral:rRNA from 1 species
AGAGUUUGAUUCUGGCUCAGGAUGAACGCUAGCUACAGGCUUAACACAUGCAAGUCGAGGGGCAGCAUAGUCAAAGCUUGCUUGAUUGAUGGCGACCGGCGCACGGGUGAGUAACGCGUAUCCAACCUUCCCCUUAGUAGGGCAUAGCCCGGCGAAAGUCGGAUUAAUACCCUAUGUUGUGUCAUGAGGACAUCUGAAUAACACUAAAGAUUUAUCGCUAAGGGAUGGGGAUGCGUCCGAUUAGCUUGCCGGCGGGGUAACGGCCCACCGGGGCGACGAUCGGUAGGGGUUCUGAGAGGAAGGUCCCCCACACUGGUACUGAGACACGGACCAGACUCCUACGGGAGGCAGCAGUGAGGAAUAUUGGUCAAUGGGCGAGAGCCUGAACCAGCCAAGUAGCCGUGCAGGAUGACGGCCCUAUGGGUUGUAAACUGCUUUUAUGCGGGGAUAAAGUGACGUACGUGUACGUUUUUGUAGGUACCGCAUGAAUAAGGACCGGCUAAUUCCGUGCCAGCAGCCGC